GCCCAACUAGCUCAGUAGGUAGAGCGCCACGCUGUUAAACUCGUCCUUUCUCAAGACGAGAAAGGGCGUACAGAAGGCCUUUCAAAGGCCUUCAUAUACAGUUACGUGGUGGUCCCAGGUUCGAAUCCUGGGUUGGGCG
rnacentral:tRNA from 1 species